AUUUCUCAUUUCGUGGACACUCGAACCCAGUGUAGAUUGACAUUAAUCUGUAAAUUAUACAAGCAGAAAUGUAAAAUUAUUAUACACAUGACAGAUGCUAAGAAGGAAACCUACAUGGUUUCAGAGAGCUUAGAACAGAUUUUUCUGAAGCAUGUGUUAUGGAAUGGAGCACUGAUGAAACAAUACAUAUUGACUAGCCAAGAGAAAAUUGUAAGAAUGGAUAUUUCCCAAAUGGAAGACAACACCAGUGAGAACAUAUGUGGUAGGAAGGAAAAAUGGUAUAACAAUGAACAACAACUGUUUUAGGAGAAAACCUCACCAUCUUCACAUAAGAGUUUGGUUAACUUUGAUUAUUUCUAUUUUUAUCUUUGUGUGAUAACUAGCUUGGUACUUUCCAUUUCUUGAAGGGAAACAUUCUCUUAAGGAGUUGUUUUUUUACAGAAGAGAAGAAAAAUCCUAGGAGCUGUAUCAAUACCAACCUUGUUCUCUUAUUGCCUUUGUCAUCAUGGUUGAAGAGACACAAAGCUAAAAUGGUGAUUUAUGGAAGUGAUCUAGGAGAAGGGUUGCAAUGAAGAAUUACGCCAAUGUUCAAAACAAACAGACACCAGAAA